rnacentral:rRNA from 1 species
ACGAACGCUGGCGGCGUGCUUAACACAUGCAAGUCGAACGGAAAGGCCCUGCUUUUGUUGGGUGCUCGAGUGGCGAACGGGUGAGUAACACGUGAGUAACCUGCCCUUGACUUUGGGAUAACUUCAGGAAACUGGGGCUAAUACCGGAUAGGAGCUCCUGCUGCAUGGUGGGGGUUGGAAAGUUUCGGCGGUUGGGGAUGGACUCGCGGCUUAUCAGCUUGUUGGUGGGGUAGUGGCUUACCAAGGCUUUGACGGGUAGCCGGCCUGAGAGGGUGACCGGCCACAUUGGGACUGAGAUACGGCCCAGACUCCUACGGGAGGCAGCAGUGGGGAAUAUUGCACAAUGGGCGGAAGCCUGAUGCAGCAACGCCGCGUGCGGGAUGACGGCCUUCGGGUUGUAAACCGCUUUCGCCUGUGACGAAGCGUGAGUGACGGUAAUGGGUAAAGAAGCACCGGCUAACUACGUG